AGCAAUAGAGAGUAAUCCACAAACUAUUUCUUAGUUUGUGAGUUAAUAGUGUGGAAGUAAUAUUAUUGUGAGUUGUAAGAAAUAAAAAGAGUGUUGAGUAGUAGUUUUUUGAUACUACCAAGUUUUUCAUCAAUAUUAAUGCAUCACUUAUUUGGAACUUUACCAAUUAGACUAUUCAUGAAAAGAUGCUCCUCAUCCUCCAAACACGGAUAUAUACUGCAGUCACAUUUACAAUAGAAGUCAGUACAAGCUCAAGAAUUUUAAUAUGAAGAAUAUAUCGUUCAAGAAAGUAUGGAGCAAGUUGAAGUUAAAAACACCUUUUACUUUGGUUAAGGGUGGUUUAAAUUAAAGACGAUAUCUUAUUAUAUAUAUAUAUUGCAAUUUUUCUUUUUUUUUAAGGAAUUGAUAAAGAUAUGUCAUGCAACUUAAAUAUGAUAUAUCUUUUUUUAAUUA